rnacentral:rRNA from 1 species
UACGAAGGGGGCUAGCGUUGCUCGGAAUCACUGGGCGUAAAGGGUGCGUAGGCGGGCCUUUAAGUCAGGGGGGAAAUCCUGGAGCUCAACUCCAGAACUGCCUUUGAUACUGAAGAUCUUGAGGUCGGGAGAGGUGAGUGGAACUGCGAGUGUAGAGGUGAAAUUCGUAGAUAUUCGCAAGAACACCAGUGGCGAAGGCGGCUCACUGGCCCGAUACUGACGCUGAGGCACGAAAGCGUGGGGAGCAAACAGG